CGGGACGGAGUAUGCCGGUCGUACGCACGAUUCGGGUUCGUGUAGACCGGGUUCAAUUCCCGGCGUCCCGACCA
rnacentral:tRNA from 1 species